CUGCGGCUCAUGAGCCUGUAUGUCCCCAACCAAGAGCUGUUGGACCAGGCUCUGCUCUGUCACAAGAAGGUUGUUGAUCAUUUAGAGAAUUCAAACGAUGAAAGGCUCCUUGAUAAAAUAUCCAGAAAUGAGCUAGAUUGGUGAAGGCUCUAGUUGGUAGUAAUUUAAUGAAAUUGUUUCAAGUGAAUGAAAAGGAAAAACUUAUGGCUUCCAGGUUUUAAAUACUUGGCUGUGGUUCUGAAAUUGAUCCAAGUUUAUUAACCAUUGAAUAGGUUAAGGAAAAGUGGUUGAAGAAGCCAUGACCAUCAAAAGCAGAGAUAUUGAAAAGGAACUAUGCCUUUCUCCCAUGAAGCUGCACUGCUCCAUGCUAACUGAAGAUGCAAUCACAGUGGCCCUAAUAGACUGCAAACUGAAAAAGAAUUCUAAGAAAGGAGAGGCAGAGAAGAAA
rnacentral:lncRNA from 1 species